rnacentral:rRNA from 1 species
UACGUAGGGUGCGAGCGUUGUCCGGAAUUAUUGGGCGUAAAGAGCUUGUAGGCGGUCUGUCGCGUCUGCUGUGAAAAUCCGGGGCUCAACCCCGGACUUGCAGUGGGUACGGGCAGACUAGAGUGUGGUAGGGGAGACUGGAAUUCCUGGUGUAGCGGUGAAAUGCGCAGAUAUCAGGAGGAACACCGAUGGCGAAGGCGACUACCUGGCCCACUCUUGACGCUGAGGCGCGAAAGCUAGGGGAGCGAACGGG